AACGAACGCUGGCGGCAGGCCUAACACAUGCAAGUCGAACGCUGUAGCAAUACAGAGUGGCAGACGGGUGAGUAACGCGUGGGAACCUUCCCAGUGGUGCGGAAUAGCUCAGGGAAACUUGAGGUAAUACCGCAUAAGCCCCUAGGGGGAAAGAUUUAUCGCCAUUGGAUGGGCCCGCGUCGGAUUAGCUAGUUGGUGAGGUAAUGGCUCACCAAGGCAACGAUCCGUAGCGGUUUGAGAGAAUGACCAGCCACACUGGGACUGAGACACGGCCCAGACUCCUACGGGAGGCAGCAGUGGGGAAUCUUGGACAAUGGGCGCAAGCCUGAUCCAGCCAUGCCGCGUGAGUGACGAAGGCCUUAGGGUUGUAAAGCUCUUUUGCCGGGGACGAUAAUGACGGUACCCGGAGAAUAAGUCCCGGCUAACUUCGUGCCAGCCGCCGCCGUAAU
rnacentral:rRNA from 1 species